rnacentral:lncRNA from 12 species
CUGGCUUUCAAAUAUAAGGUGACAAGACAACAACAACAACAACAAAGAUAAUUCACACAAGUUUCUGGGCAUCGUGUUCCUGUGGUUUUUACAUGAAGUCACAGAGAAUCUAAGCCGUAUUUGCAGGCCAGUCUAGGAUGUAAGAGAAGCCAAGCGAGCUGGCCUGUCUAUUCAUCUUAGUAUAUUUUCAUCUGUUUUUAAAUACUUAAACUUGAAUAUAAAUUUUUUGUAUACUUUUUAUUGGAGUUUGAUUUGCCAACAUAUAGCAUAACACUGAGUGCUCAUCCCACCAAGUGCCCCCCUCAGUGCCCAUCACCCAGUCACUCCAUCCCCCUGCCCACCUCCCUUUCCACCACCCCUUGUUCAUUUCCCAGAGUUAGGAGUCUCUUAUGUUCUGUCCCCCUUACUGAUAUUUCCCACUCCUUUUCUCUCCUUUCCCCUUUAUUUCCUUUCACUAUUUUUUAUAUUCCCCGAAUGGAUGAAAAUUUUUUUUGAUAAAAAGUUUCUGCCACUGACCCAUUUUUUUUCUGUAAAGGAUCUGAGGCUAUCAAAAUAUUUUACUAAAUAUGUAACCUCAUUAGUUUAUUCCUAAUGCAUUUAACAAACUAUGUGGCUGGGACUACAAUUUUUAAUGGAGAUACAUUAGGAAUAAAACAUGACUAUCUAAAACAUGACACAAAUGUGUAAAUCUGAAAGAUGCUAUUUUAGAGUGAUCAUGUGCCUAGUGAUGUGGGAAUAAAGCAAUAAUGCUGCCUUAAAAAAAAUCCAGGAAAGAUUCAUAUUUGAGCAUGUGCUUGAUGAUUAAGAGAAGAUUUCAAAAUAGAGAAGUUCCACAAGGGCAUCAAAGGCAACAGACGACUCAUAUGAAGAACAUGGCAUAAGAUGAACAGUCCGUGUGAAGAGCACAGACACAAUGUAGAACAUUCCUCAUGGAAUGUAGGAUUUGUGCUGUGUACUGGAAGAGGUAAAUUUGAAGUGGUAGUCUGGGGCCAUAGUUUGAGGAAGUGCAAGUUUUGGGAACACCUUGAAAUGGACUUAACAAAUAUGUAUUCAGUACCGAAACAUACCUAGUACCCUUCCAGAUGCUCAGGGGACUUACAUUAAAAGAGCAGAACUUAAAAAAAAUGGGCAGAGAAACUCAAGACACAUUUUUCCAAAGACAUUUCAAUGACCGGUAGGUAUAUGAAAAAGUACUCAAUAUCACUAAUCAUUAGAAAAUGCAAACUAAAACCACAAUGAACUAUCACCUACCACCUAUUAAAAUAGUUACUAGCAAAAGACAAGAGAUAAGACGUGUUGAUGAGGAUUUGGAGAAAAGGAGGCCUUUGUGCACUAUGGGUAGGAAUGUAAAUUGGUACAGCCAAUAUGGAGGUUCCAGAAAAAAUUAAAAAUAGAACCACUAUAUGAUCCAGCAAUUCCUCUUUUGGGUAUAUAUCUAAAGAAAACAAAAUCACUAUGUCAAGGAAACAUCUUUAACUUCAUGUUCACUGCAGCAUUAUUUACAAUAGCCAAGACAUGGAAACAACCUAUGUCUCCCGGUGAGUGAAUGGAUAAAAAGAAUGUGAUAUAAAUAUACAUAUGAGUAUACAAUAAAGAAGGAAAUUAUGCCA